rnacentral:rRNA from 1 species
UACGGAGGGUGCAAGCGUUAAUCGGAAUUACUGGGCGUAAAGCGUGCGUAGGUGGUUAAUUAAGUUAUCUGUGAAAUCCCUGGGCUUAACCUGGGCAGGUCAGAUGAUACUGGUUGACUCGAGUAUGGGAGAGGGUAGUGGAAUUUCCGGUGUAGCGGUGAAAUGCGUAGAGAUCGGAAGGAACACCAGUGGCGAAGGCGGCUACCUGGCCUAAUACUGACACUGAGGCACGAAAGCGUGGGGAGCAAACAGG